rnacentral:rRNA from 1 species
GACGAACGCUGGCGGCGUGCCUAGUACAUGCAAGUCGAACGCAUUUUCUUUCACCGUAGCUUGCUACACCGAAAGAAAAUGAGUGGCGAACGGGUGAGUAACACGUGGGUAACCUGCCCAUCAGCGGGGGAUAACACUUGGAAACAGGUGCUAAUACCGAAUAAUUCCAUUUACUGCAUGGUAGAUGGAUGAAAGGCGCUUUUGCGUCACUGAUGGAUGGACCCGCGGUGCAUUAGCUAGUUGGUGGGGUAACGGCCUACCAAGGCUGCGAUGCAUAGCCGACCUGAGAUGGUGAUCGGCCACACUGGGACUGAGACACGGCCCAGACUCCUACGGGAGGCAGCAGUAGGGAAUCUUCGGCGAUGGACGCAAGUCUGACCGAGCAACGCCGCGUGAGUGAAGAAGGUUUUCGGAUCGUAAAACUCUGUUGUUAGAAAAGAACAAGGAUGAGAGUGGAAAGUUCAUCCCUUGACGGUAUCUAACCAGAAAGCCACGGCUAACUACGUG